rnacentral:rRNA from 1 species
GACGAACGCUGGCGGCGUGCUUAACACAUGCAAGUCGAACGGAAAGGCCCUGCUUUUGUGGGGUGCUCGAGUGGCGAACGGGUGAGUAACACGUGUGUAACCUGCCCUUGACUUUGGGAUAACUUCAGGAAACUGGGGCUCAUACCGGAUAGGAGCUCCUGCUGCAUGGUGGGGGUUGGAAAGUUUCGGCGGUUGGGGAUGGACUCGCGGCUUAUCAGCUUGUUGGUGGGGUAGGUGCUUACCAAGGCUUUGACGGGUAGCCGGCCUGGGAGGGUGACCGGCCACAUUGGGACUAAGAGACGGCCCAGACUCCUACGGGAGGCAGUAGUGGGGAAUAUUGCACAAUGGGCGGAAGCCUGAUGCAGCAACGCCGCGUGCGGGAUGCCGGCCUUCGGGGUGUAAACCGCUGUCGCCUGAGACGAAGCGUGAGUGACGGUAAUGGGUAAAGAAGCAACGGCUAACUACGUG